rnacentral:rRNA from 1 species
UACGGAGGGUGCAAACGUUGCUCGGAAUCAUUGGGCGUAAAGCGCACGUAGGCGGUCCGGAAAGUCGGGUGUGAAAUCCCUCGGCUCAACCUCGGAACUGCCUUCGAUACUGCGGGUCUCGAGUCCGGGAGAGGUGAGUGGAAUUCCUAGUGUAGAGGUGAAAUUCGUAGAUAUUAGGAAGAACACCAGUGGCGAAGGCGGCUCACUGGCCCGGUACUGACGCUGAGGCGCGAAAGCGUGGGGAGCGAACAGG